CCUGAAGCUCCUUUCUCAGCUGAGCCCUGGAAAUCAUGAAGCCCCUCUUGGAAACAGGCAUGUCAGCUGGUGGUGUGAAGGCGGGUGGGGUCCGCCUGCCCCUUCCUGCCCUUUGUCCCAACCCAAGAUGAAGGAGCACUAGUACCUGAUGACUGUCAGGAAAGCUAGAGGUUGCCCCUCACCAACCCUUGUGAAGGGUGACCAUGGAAUUUCAGCCACAAUUAAGUGAAUUCACCCAUGGAAGGAGAUUAGAUUCAUUUGGUGACCCUGUG
rnacentral:lncRNA from 1 species